rnacentral:misc_RNA from 1 species
AAGUCGUAACAAGGUUUCCGUAGGUGAACCUGCGGAAGGAUCAUUAUCAAUAUAAUAAUCCAAAACGUAUGCUAAGACAGUUCUUUCGGGGACUGUGUUAGCAUAUAAACCAAUCUGUGAAAUGUUUUGUUUUACUUUUUGGAAAAAGGAGGAGUGUAUAUAUAUUUCGGUAUAUAUUGCUUGCUUUUUUCUACUAAGUAAAAAUAUACUUUAUUAACCAAUUGAACCCUUUGUUAAAUCUUUAAUUUCUAUUGUGUGAACUGAAUUGUUUCUUACUUUUCUUGUAACAAAGAAGAGAAGAAAAUAAAUUUUACGAAACAUAAUAAUUUAAAAGAACAACUCUUAGCAACGGAUAUCUUGGUUCUC